rnacentral:rRNA from 1 species
AACGCUAGCUACAGGCUUAACACAUGCAAGUCGAGGGGCAGCAUGGUCUUAGCUUGCUAAGGCCGAUGGCGACCGGCGCACGGGUGAGUAACACGUAUCCAACCUGCCGUCUACUCUUGGACAGCCUUCUGAAAGGAAGAUUAAUACAAGAUGGCAUCAUGAGUCCGCAUGUUCACAUGAUUAAAGGUAUUCCGGUAGACGAUGGGGAUGCGUUCCAUUAGAUAGUAGGCGGGGUAACGGCCCACCUAGUCUUCGAUGGAUAGGGGUUCUGAGAGGAAGGUCCCCCACAUUGGAACUGAGACACGGUCCAAACUCCUACGGGAGGCAGCAGUGAGGAAUAUUGGUCAAUGGGCGAGAGCCUGAACCAGCCAAGUAGCGUGAAGGAUGACUGCCCUAUGGGUUGUAAACUUCUUUUAUAAAGGAAUAAAGUCGGGUAUGGAUACCCGUUUGCAUGUACUUUAUGAAUAAGGAUCGGCUAACUCCGUGCCAGCAGCCGCGGUAAUACGGAGGAUCCGAGCGUUAUCCGGAUUUAUUGGGUUUAAAGGGAGCGUAGAUGGAUGUUUAAGUCAGUUGUGAAAGUUUGCGGCUCAACCGUAAAAUUGCAGUUGAUACUGGAUGUCUUGAGUGCAGUUGAGGCAGGCGGAAUUCGUGGUGUAGCGGUGAAAUGCUUAGAUAUCACGAAGAACUCCGAUUG